rnacentral:lncRNA from 1 species
CUCAAGAGCGCCUAAAGGAACUGCUUCAUCAUUCAGGGCAUGCUAGCCAAUUAGAGCAAUGGAAUUGAGUCAUCCACGCAGCUGCAUCUAGGGAACUCCUGUCAAUCAGACUUGUGGUGCAGCUCUAGCCAAUCAAAGCUUCGGGGCAAGAUGUCCAAUCAAGAACACCAGACGAGACGAGAGGUGGGUCCUAUCCGCCGCCAUGCUGCAGAUUCUGUUCUUAAGCAGGCAUCGCGUGGUCCCGUGAGCUGCGGUGUGAUCGCCGCUGCCGGGAGCUGUAGGGGGAGCGCAGGCGAGCUCAGCAACCGCGCCAUGUGAUCUCAGCGCCCUGGAAGUGGUGGUCUAAAUGUCCUGACUAACUGUGCAUCUCCGAGUUUGCUGCGGAGGGGCUUCUCUACCUCAGACGGGGAGGAGCAGUUGUUUGUGAGUAGAGCAUUAUUUAGAAGGUAACUGGGUGCCAGGACAGUUGAGCUAGAACAGUGGUGCAAAGUUUAUCCCUCCAGCUGCAGACGUGGGUUUUGGGUUUAGUUUACUAUGACAGGGAUGGAUUCUCUGAAGGAGUGAGCCUCAAGUUCAGUUAGAGAGCCGCCUGGUGUUAUCCUCAGAACAGCUAUAUCACUAUUGCUCAGGUGGACACACCUUGCUUGGCAGGUUGGUUUUGUGUGUCGUGGAGGUCUGGGUAAGACAUUCUGUGCCUGUCAUUCCUCCCCCAGCAGCCUGCUUAGUGCCCAGAGCAUCAUGAAAGCCAGCCAACAGGGAGGAAGUUCAGUGCCAGUUUGAUUUCUUUCUGCAUUGUAACCGGUGUGGGGGGCGUCUUCAGUAAUAACAGCCAGUUCUGGAGGGCAACCGUGAAGAGCAGGCGAGCCUGUUAGGUCUCCCUGACCUAUGGCUGAUAAGCAGUGAUUCUUUCCUGCUCUGGAGUUACGGCUUAGUAACCAUCGGCUUUCAGAAGCAUCAUCUACUGUAGGAUCUCUCCCUUCUUGUUUUUAUCAUUUGUCUUAACUUACACAUGACCUCGCUGUAGCACUGCUGUGUACAUGGACAGAGGACUCUAGAGCCUGCUCCGGGAGAUGCUUGUACAGUCAUGUUCAUUGUCAUUCUUAAUUUGUAAUAACCAGGAAAUUAAAAACAGCCUACAUGUCCAGCUGGUGAGUAGAUAUUAAAACCGUGUAUACAUGAAAGGCUUCCAUUCAGCUGUGAAUAAAACCAAGAUGAUGAAAUUUGCAGGCUAAUGGAUGAAACUAGAUAAUAAUACUGAAUCAGCUGAGAGUUUGAGCUGGGACAGUGAACACCCUGUGUCCCUCUCCCAUAGGUGUUAGUGUCACACUUGUCCUUAGAUUGCUGUGUCUUAACUUGCAGAGCUUGAAGAAGUAAGGAAAGGGCCACCAGGGAGCUGCUGUUAAGGAUGGAGGGAAUGGUAGCACAGAUAACCAACAGGAAGACUCUGGGUGAGGAGUUUGAAC